rnacentral:rRNA from 1 species
UACGUAGGGCGCAAGCGUUGUCCGGAAUUAUUGGGCGUAAAGAGCUCGUAGGCGGUUUGUCGCGUCUGCUGUGAAAACCUAAGGCUCAACCUUGGGCUUGCAGUGGGUACGGGCAGACUAGAGUGCGGUAGGGGUGACUGGAAUUCCCGGUGUAGCGGUGAAAUGCGCAGAUAUCGGGAGGAACACCAGUGGCGAAGGCGGCACUCUGGGCCAGUACUGACACUGAGGAGCGAAAGCGUGGGUAGCGAACAGG